GACCGCUUAGCUCAGUGGUAGAGCGUGUGAUUCCAGCUGAUGUAAUGCUGACCAAUGCUUACGUAAGCCUCCACAAGGUCGUCCGUUCAAUCCGGGCAGUGGUCA